GUAAGAACACUGUUAUGGGAAGGGGGACCCUCCAGGAAGACAGCGGACCCCCUGGAAGAAUGAACUGGGACUCUCAGAAAGGAAAUGCCCCGACAUUAAAGGGGCCUCAUAAACUACAUCCAUCACUCACAAGGCAGGUGCUGCAUCCCUGCCAAAGGUUAGCUAAAGCGCCAGGCGCGUGUGGUCUGACUUCAUGGCUACGAACGCUGCACUUAGAAGGGGCAUUCUGAUGUUUUAGUUGCUUGUCCACCAUAAUAAGUGUCCCUCCUACCAUCCACACGACAGGUAGACCUGAGAAGUGUCUGAGGGAGUGAUGAGAGGACCCGUUCAUCUCAUCUAGGGUUUGCUGAGAAACACGAGAGAAUCAAGAACUCAGAGAGGUCUGUCGCUCUGGCUCCAACCCCCCAGCCCCGCCCCGAAUGCCACCCUUGCAGAGAUAACUGCCCACCCAGCUCCUCCACGCAGAUGCCCAGCGGGCACCCUCAGAUCCCAUUGUUCGCCCUCUAAAAAUCAGCAGGAUCCAAGCACUCCUCGCCUUCUCCCUUGCUGUCUAUCGCCUGCCCCUGAAAUGCCAUCGUCUCUCACCGGGAUCAGGUCCCAGCCUCCUGACCACCCUCCCCGCUGCUGCCCCUGCCCCUUAAAACGUGGAAGUCAGGCCGCGGCGCUCCUCUGCUCACAGCCCUCCGCGGCCCCCACCUCCUCCAGAGCCCCCGGGACCAGGCCCACACCCACCCCUGCCCACAGCACCCACCCCGCUUCUUGCGCUCCCUGCGCCAACCGCACGGGCCUCCUGCUGUUCCUGUGAACGCCGGACGCGCCCUCCCCCCAGCCCCCGCCCCAGGUGGGAUCCUCUCCCUCAGACGAUGCCAGCUCAUUUACUUCUCGGCGAGGGCUUCCCUGUCCACUCUGUCAACGGCACAUCCCAUCCUUUCAAACCCACGACCUUGCCUUUUAAAGAGAUUCACUGCCGACAUACAUUGAUCUACACAUGAA